rnacentral:rRNA from 1 species
UACGGGGGGGGCAAGCGUUGUUCGGAAUUACUGGGCGUAAAGGGUUCGUAGGUGGCCUACUAAGUCAGACGUGAAAUCCCUCAGCUUAACUGGGGAACUGCGUCUGAUACUGGGGGGCUUGAGGACAGGAGAGGAACGCGGAAUUCCAGGUGUAGCGGUGAAAUGCGUAGAUAUCAGGAAGAACACCAAUGGCGAAGGCGCCUUCCUGGCCGGUUUCUGACGCUGAGGCGCGAAAGCCAGGGGAGCAAACGGG